UGCGUAGGUGGCGCCGUAAGUCGGGUGUGAAAUUUCGGAGCUUAACUCCGAAACUGCAUUCGAUACUGCGGUGCUUGAGGACUGGAGAGGAGACUGGAAUUUAUGGUGUAGCAGUGAAAUGCGUAGAGAUCAUAAGGAAGACCAGUGGCGAAGGCGGGUCUCUGGACAGUUCCUGACACUGAGGCACCAAGGGGCCAGGGGAGGCAAACG
rnacentral:rRNA from 1 species